rnacentral:rRNA from 1 species
GUGAGGAAUUUUCCGCAAUGGGCGAAAGCCUGACGGAGCAAUGCCGCGUGAAGGAUGAAGGCCUAUGGGUUGUAAACUUCUUUUCUCAGAAAAGAAUUAUGACGGUAUCUGAGGAAUAAGCAUCGGCUAACUCUGUGCCAGCAGCCGCGGUAAGAAAGAGGAUGCAAGCGUUAUCCGGAAUGAUUGGGCGUAAAGCGUCUGUAGGUUGUUUAAAAAGUAUUCUGUCAAAGAUUAGGGCUUAACCCUAGAUAGGCAGAAUAAACUUUUAAGCUAGAGUUUGGUAGAGGCAGAGGGAAUUCCCGGUGGAGCGGUGAAAUGCGUAGAUAUCGGGAGGAACACCAAAGGCGAAGGCACUCUGCUGGGCCAAUACUAACACUGAGAGACGAAAGCGAGGGGAGCAAAUGGGAUUAGAAACCCGGGUAGUCC